CCUGAACCAGCCAAGUCGCGUGAAGGAAGAAGGAUCUAUGGUUCGUAAACUUCUUUUGCAGGGGAAUAAAGUGCAGGACGUGUCCUGUUUUGUAUGUACCCUGAGAAUAAGGAUCGGCUAACUCCGUGCCAGCAGCCGCGGUAAUAAGUGU
rnacentral:rRNA from 1 species